rnacentral:rRNA from 1 species
CCCUUAGAUGUCCGGGGCUGCACGCGCGCUACACUGAAGGAAUCAGCGUGCUAAAACCAUUGUCGAAAGGCAUUGGUAAACCCAUUAAAAUCCUACGUGAUUGGGAUCGGGAAUUGCAAUUAUUUCCCUUGAACGAGGAAUUCCCGGUAAGUGUGGGUCAUAAGCUCGCGUUGAUUACGUCCCUGCCCUUUGUACACACCGCCCGUCGCUGCCCGGGACUGAGCCGUUUCGAGAAAAGCGGGGACUGCUGCUGUCGGGGCUUUCGGGCCUUGGCUUCGGUGGAAACCGCUUUAAUCGCAGUGGCUUGAACCGGGCAAAAGUCGUAACA